rnacentral:rRNA from 1 species
UACGUAGGGGGCAAGCGUUGUCCGGAAUCAUUGGGCGUAAAGAGCGUGUAGGCGGCCAGAUAAGUCCGCUGUGAAAUCUCGAGGCUCAACUUCGAGCUGUCGGUGGAAACUGUCUGGCUAGAGUCCGGAAGAGGAGAAUGGAAUUCCUGGUGUAGCGGUGAAAUGCGCAGAUAUCAGGAAGAACACCCGUGGCGAAGGCGGUUCUCUGGGACGGUACUGACGCUGAGGCACGAAGGUCAGGGGAGCAAACGGG